CCGUUCGAGCGACAGUAUCGAUACCAAGUAACCGAUUAAUAUAUCGAUACUAAAAUUGUACAUGUAAGGCAUAGGCUUAUAUAUUCGAUACCAUAAUUCCGAUACCUAUCGUGGCAAAGCAAUAUUGAUGGCAGACGAUUGCUCGAGUUUGUUAAACUUUUCGAGCAUGUUUGCGAGUGAAAUCGGUCCUCAACUCGCAGAUCCUGCCACAUCAUCAUAUUGGAUGCAGUAUCAAAGCUACUGUUUGUAAAUUAUAUUAGUUUUAACAACUUUUCUCUCAUUUUUAAGAGCAAAACUCAAAAUGUACAUGCACAUUUUGGCUUUCAUCAUUGGGAUCAUCGUGCCGCGCCGGUAAGACCAUGGACGUACGUGUUGGGAAGACCGUUGAUUGAAGAAAGGAAGAACCAUGCUGAUCAUGCUGAUUAGAUAGUAGGCCUAGAUUGCAGAAGGCAUUUGAUUGAAUUUUUUUAAUACGGAAAAUACAAGAAAUAAACGACUUUUUGGUACCUUUAAAAAAAAAAAUGGUCAGAAAAAAAAGAAAGAAAAAAAAAGAAAAAAGUAGCAACUAAAGUAGUGGAAUGUUGUUUUUGUUAUUGAAAGAAAGAUGCUGGACGACAGCUUCCCGGCAAUAUUUUCUGCAAACUUUAUUCCAUGCCUACCUUGGCCAAUCGUCCGAUAGAACCAAGGAAACAAAGCCUUUCUAGAUGUCUCUUUCCAUUAUCACUUUACCAAAUCUCUGUUGGUGACUUAAGACCAGUGUCUCUUGGACGAUUUACCUGCCCCCCUGGCCUGGAUUCAGCUCAGAUGACAAUUAUGUUGGCUGCCACAUUAUUUCAUGAUGUCAAUCGCCAAUAUACGGUUCAUAUGACAUCAGCGUCUAUCAUAUUUAUGAUAUGGAUUUGUAUACAAGUUAUAUAUUUUUCAUACAUUUAAACUUAUAAAAGCUGUGAUGCCUUUUGUAAUUAAUACAAUUCCUGUCAUUCAACCUUUUGAGUAAAUUUCUUUUUGGAUUUUAACUGAAAGGCUAGGAUUGUUUAACUUUUGAAAUUAUGAUUAUGUUAAUGUCCAAUUAUAAUGACUGCCACUUCUCAUGUAAUAUUUUCUCAUGUAAAAGAUUGUUUGGAUAAAGUAGUUUGUAUUAAAAUAAAAGCAUUUUGGAGCCGUUUAAGGA